UACAGAGGUCUCAAGCGUUGUUCGGAAUCACUGGGCGUAAAGGGUGUGUAGGUGGCGUGGUAAGUCAGAUGUGAAAGCCCGGGGCUCAACCUCGGAAUUGCAUCCGAUACUGCCAUGCUAGAGUGCUGAAGGGGAGUCUAGAAUUCACGGCGUAGCAGUGAAAUGCGUAGAUAUCGUGAGGAAUACCGAAGGCGAAGGCAGGACUCUGGGCAGUAACUGACAUUGAGACACGAAGGCUAGGGGAGCAAACGGG
rnacentral:rRNA from 1 species